GGUCAGAUCUGGGAUUUGGGGUCACAUUUGGGGUCAUUUGGGGACAGAUCUUGGAUUUGGGGUCACAUUUUGGGACACAUUUGGGGUCAAAAUUGGGGACAUUUGGAGACAGAUCUGGGAUUUCGGGUCACAUUUGGGGUCAGAUUUGGGGUCACAUUUGGGGACAGAUCUGGGAUUUGGGGUCGGAUUUGGGGUCACAUUUGGGGACAUUUGGGGACAGAUCCGGGAUUUGGGGUCACAUUUGGGGUCACAUUUGGGGUCACAUUUGGGGACAGAUCUGGAAUUUGGGGUCACAUUUGGGGACAGAUCUGGAAUUUGGGGUUGGAUUUGGGGUCACAUUUGGGGACAGAUCUGGGAUUUAGGUUGACAUUUGGGGUCACAUUUGGGGACAGAUCUGGGAUUUGGGGUCACAUUUGGGGUCACAUUUAGGGUCACAUUUGGGGA
rnacentral:lncRNA from 1 species